GCGGGAGUGGCGGAAUUGGCAGACGCGCUGGACUUAGGAUCCAGUGGGUUAACCGUAAGGGUUCAAAUCCCUUCUCCCGCA
rnacentral:tRNA from 1 species